rnacentral:misc_RNA from 1 species
GGGAUGGAUGUGAUCAGGAGGAUGCUACAGACUGGGCAUCCGACCAUGCUCAGCUGAUUGGAGAUACCCUGAUGGUGGCCAAUCUUCCCUUUAUCUCAUUCUUUAAGAGGUAAAAUGGUUGUUCAUCCAAUGUCUGGCAAUGUGAAUAUUUCGGACCAAGUAUAGUAUGGGUUCCUCUAGUGGCCUAGGAGUCUCACAAUUGAAAGAAAUGGAAGCUGUGG